rnacentral:RNase_P_RNA from 1 species
CGAGCCAGCCGGGUGAUCGCGGGCGCAAAGCCGCGAGGCUGCGUCCGAGGAAAGUCCGGGCUGCACAGGGCACGGUGCUGGGUAACGCCCAGCGGGGGCGACCCCCGGGAAAGUGCCACAGAAACAUACCGCCGGCGGUGCGUGUCGCGCUCUCGCGCCGCGCGCUUGCCGGUAAGGGUGAAACGGUGCGGUAAGAGCGCACCAGCGGCCAGGCGACUGGCCGGCUAGGCAAACCCCACCGGCAGCAAGGCCAAGUAGGAGGGCAAUGAGGUGGCCCGCCGAGCCCUCGGGUUGGCCGCUGGAGGCCCCGGGCAACCGGGCGCCCUAGAUAGAUGAUCACCCUCGACAGAACCCGGCUUACAGGCUGGCUCACCGC